AGAACGAACGCUGGCGGCAUGCCUAACACAUGCAAGUCGAACGAGACCUUCGGGUCUAGUGGCGCACGGGUGCGUAACGCGUGGGAACCUGCCCUUAGGUUCGGAAUAACUCAGAGAAAUUUGAGCUAAUACCGGAUAAUGUCUUCGGACCAAAGAUUUAUCGCCUUUGGAUGGGCCCGCGUAGGAUUAGCUAGUUGGUGGGUAAAGGCCUACCAAGGCGACGAUCCUUAGCUGGUCUGAGAGGAUGAUCAGCCACACUGGGACUGAGACACGGCCCAGACUCCUACGGGAGGCAGCAGUGGGGAAUAUUGGACAAUGGGCGAAAGCCUGAUCCAGCAAUGCCGCGUGAGUGAUGAAGGCUUAGGGUGUAAAGCUCUUUACCGGGAUGAUAAUGACAGUACGGAGAAUAAGCUCGCUAACUCCGUGCCAGCCAGCCGACGGUAAAUCCGUAGGACGGCCGGGCUACGGCGAAGGUCCGACAAGUACG
rnacentral:rRNA from 1 species